UUCGGGGUGAGUGGCAGACGGGUGAGUAACGCGUGGGAACGUGCCCUUCAGUUCGGAAUAACCCAGGGAAACUUGGGCUAAUACCGGAUACGUGCGAGAGCAGAAAGAUUUAUCGCUGAAGGAUCGGCCCGCGUCUGAUUAGCUAGUUGGUGAGGUAAUGGCUCACCAAGGCGACGAUCAGUAGCUGGUCUGAGAGGAUGAUCAGCCACAUUGGGACUGAGACACGGCCCAAACUCCUACGGGAGGCAGCAGUGGGGAAUAUUGGACAAUGGGCGCAAGCCUGAUCCAGCCAUGCCGCGUGAGUGAUGAAGGCCUUAGGGUUGUAAAGCUCUUUCGUCCGGGACGAUAAUGACGGUACCGGAAGAAGAAGCCCCGGCUAACUUCGUGCCAGCAGCCGCGGUAAUACGAAGGGGGCUAGCGUUGUUCGGAAUCACUGGGCGUAAAGGGCGCGUAGGCGGCUUUAUAAGUCGGGGGUGAAAGCCUGUGGCUCAACCACAGAAUUGCCUUCGAUACUGUAGAGCUUGAGACCGGAAGAGGUAAGUGGAACUGCGAGUGUAGAGGUGAAAUUCGUAGAUAUUCGCAAGAACACCAGUGGCGAAGGCGGCUUACUGGUCCGGUUCUGACGCUGAGGCGCGA
rnacentral:rRNA from 1 species